GACAGAGGGGGCAAGCGUUGCUCGGAAUCACUGGGCGUAAAGGGCGCGUAGGCGGGGUGGCAAGUCAGUCGUGAAAUCUCUCGGCUCAACCGAGAAACGUCGGCUGAUACUGCCGUUCUUGAGGGAUGCAGAGGAGACUGGAAUUCCCGGUGUAGCGGUGAAAUGUGUAGAGAUCGGGAGGAACACCGGUGGCGAAGGCGGGUCUCUGGACCGAUACUGACGCUGAGGCGCGAAAGCGUGGGGAGCAAACAGG
rnacentral:rRNA from 1 species